rnacentral:misc_RNA from 1 species
AGAGGACGUGGUUAGAGGGGGCAAGCGAGAUAGCAUCAGUGAAGUGUCUGACGGCUCCCGCAUAAUCGCCGGCUGAGAAUGCGGCGUUGCCUUUGGCUUUGGCUUCUUCGGCCAUGAACGGAAAGCUUCAGGAAGGACAGGAGUCGCAAGAGUAAGCUAGGGAUGGUUUUCGAAGAAAUGGCGAUCUGGGAGCAGUGAUUACAGAGAGAAGUAAGG